AUCAUAUGAUUUAUUGCAUCACACUCAUUCAACAUACACAACACACAAAAUUCAUAUAAACAAAUUUUUAAAUAUACUUUUUUUAUGGCGUGUUUUGCUUGUUUCAUAAUAUUCAUUUUGACAAUAAUAGCCUCGACGAUUUUAAUGGCCCUGCCUAUUUUAUCCAUUCAGGCAAUACAGAGGAAAAGAACAGCGCGGAUUGUGGGAAAUUCGCAAGAAGAAACAAGACGAGAGCCUACAUCAAACUGUCUUCCUGAAAUGAACACACAAUAAACAAUGCACUAAAGAAAGUUAUAUUUA